CACCCACCGAAUGCAGACAUUUUUUGUUGUCCUUCUGAAAUGAAAGGGGGAUUGUGAAAACAGACAAUGAUCCCAAAUUAGUUUCAGUCACAGAGAACAAGGAGCACCCACCAAUCUCUGAGCCGGCUGGGCGUGGAAAUAAAUGUUCCAGCACUGCAUGGAAGAAGAUGGCAAAGGAUGCAAAAAUAAUGACUGCAGGAAACACACUUGGCCUUCCAGACAAGUCAGAAGAAAUCAGUGAAGGAUCAAUCUACGCCAAGGCAUUCUCAUGUCUCAAGAAAAGAAAAAAUAACAUAUUUAACAUUCAUCCACCACCAUAAACCAAAUGGAUAACUGAGCAAGAGCAGACUUGAUUUUUUCCGGUGAAACCCUACACAAGCCUCAUCUCUGAUCCCUAAGUCAUCAGAAGGAUACAGGGAUGACUUGAAGGACACAAUUGUUAGUCUACUUUCAGCACCUGCUCUGGUGCUGAGCUGGGGAGCUGGAGCCUGAAGCCAAGGAUAAGACGUUACUAUGGCCACUGGACUUGUUUUCCUCUACUUCCCAGCCUCACAAUGAGUGUGGCAAUGAUACUCCAUGCCAUAAGAAGGAGCUGCAGAUGAAGCUGCUCUGACCUUUAGUUGGUACUCUGGCUAACCUGGAAAUUAGGAAUUACAAAGGUUGCUCUUGGUUACAUUCGUGCCCCCCACUUCUGUACUGUCUGUGUGCUUAGAAAAAUCUCUGACUACAAACAUGAUAUUCAAGAGA